GAGUCUUGCUCUAUCGCCCACGAUGGAGUGCAGUGGCAUGAUCUCGGCUCACUGCAACCUCCGCCUCCUGGGUUCAAGCGAUUCUCCUGCCUCAGCCUCCCGAGUAGCUGGGAUUACAGGUGCAUGUCACCAUGCCCAGCUAAUUUUCUGUAUUUUUAGUAGAGACAGUGUUUCACCAUGCUGGCCAGGCUGGUCUCGAACUCCUGACCUCAUGAUCUGCCCACCUCAGCCUCCCAAAGUGCUGGGAUUACAGGUGUGAGCCACCGUGCCCAGCCAGCCUGGUUAAUUUUUAAAAAUUUUUUGUAGCGGCAGAGUCUCACUAUGUUGCCCGGGCUGGUCUCUAACUCCUGGCCUCAAGUGAUCUUCCCGCCUCAGUCUCCCAAAGUGUUGGGAUUACAGGUGUGAACCACUGUACCUGGCCUCAAAUUUCUGACUUGCUGAUCUGAGCUGUAAGUAGACAAGGUCUAAAGACUGGAGGGUUUGAGAGCAGCUGAGAAGAUCACUGGUGAUGAGGAGCCCGAUACGGUUUUGUUCUAUGUCUCCACGCAAAUCUCACCUUGAAUUUUACUAAUCCCCACGUGUCAAGGGUGGGGCCAGGUGGAGGUAACUGAAUCAUGGGGACAGUUUCCCCCAGGCUGUUCUCAUGAUGGUGAGUUCCCACGAGAUCUGAUGGUUUUAUAAGGGGCUUCCCCCUUUGCUCAGCACUCAUUCUCUCUCCUGCCGCCCUGUGAAGAGGAGCCUUCCACCAUAACUGUAAGGUUCCUGAGGCCUCCCCAGCCAUGCAGAACUGUGAGUCAAUUAAACCCCUUUUCUUUAUAAAUUAUCCAGUCUUGGGUAUGUCUUUAUUAGCAGCAGACUAAUACAAACCCAAAACCCAAGCAGUCACAGAAACAGAUGGGUUGUCUAAUGAAGCUGAAGCAGGGUGGCAAGCAAUGAGCCAGUCAUUAAUGAUGAGUAGGAGUGAUGGGAAAGUCAGCAGAGCACAGUUACAAGGUGGACAAAAGGAUGUGUCUUACCCAUGGCUGAUGCUCCAAAGAGGAGGGUUAUCACACGAGGGGGGAAAAGCAAUGAUCCAGGACAGCCAUGACAAGAAUGCGUGCCACCAAUCCCACCUUCUGAACAGUUACAUCUCUGUAAUGUUAAAACUAAUCUACCUGAUCAGGUCAUUCCUGCCAAUUUUUAAUCUGGAAGAUGCACAUCAAUCUUUCCCCUGCCUUUAUACCAAAUAAAUACUAUUUCUACAGGUUUUCCAAGUAAAAUCUUCAAUGAAUGGAAAAUCUAUCUUAAGGCUUUCAAAAAGGAUCACACAUUUACCCACAAGCUUACAGGGUAUAAGUAAUUUUUAUUAAUUUUUUAAUGCCAAGUGUUUAUUAUAUCUUAUACCAACUGGAAACAAAGUUUUGCCUCAAAAUUAGAAAUCUAUUUCCUUGUCAUUUGUACUGGAGAUGCAGGGAUCUGGUAUAUUUUUACUGUCUCCUGGUCUUCCAAUAUUUUGUCACUCAUUUAACUUACAGUCUCAUAUAUGAUGCAUCGUUUUAUGUUACUAGAGGUAUUUCAUGGGGAAGUUUAGCUCUUCUGCUCCUCUGAAUCAUCUUGUCUCCUUUGGGAAAAUUUAAUUGAUAUCCACACCUCUGUUUUCCAUUUUCCCAACUGAAUGCUCCCCUGUUCUGCCAUAGCACUCUAUGGAUAGCUCUGUUAUUGCACUUAAUACACUCAAAUGUCAACCAUAGCAAACUUUGUAACCUUGGGCAAGCACUUAAUCUCUCUGGGUCUCAACUUACUUAUGUAUAAAAUGGAGAAAAUAACAGUAAGAACUUCAUCAGGCUAUUUAUCCACUCAUGAGCUAAUGCCCAGAAAGUAGUUAGAACAGCACCUUCCAUAUAGUAAGUGCUACUGAAGUUUUUGCUAUUAGUAUCAUGAUAUGCAUUUGCACGUCUCUCCUUUCAGAUUUGUCUGCACCUUUAAAAUGGGGACUAGGUCUUAAUCUCUGUAUCCGCAGUGCCUAGUAUAGUGAAUAAAUGCAUGCAUCAAUUGAUCAGUUUUUUUUUUUUUUUUUUCUGAGACAGGUUCUCUCUCUGUCAUCCAGGCUGAAGUGCAGUGGUGCCCACUGCAGCCUCAACAUCCUGGACUCAAUCAAUCCUCCCAUCUCAGCUGUCCCUGUAGCUGGGACUACAGGUCAUUUCAAAGCCUUAGAAACUGGCCUCAACAGUAACUGCAGGAAGCAUACUUGUCAGAUCUGAGCAAUAAAAAUACACCCUGACUGCUGAGCCUGGAGCACGGGAGAGCCUACAGCUAACCAGGGAAGACAUGCUUUAGAUAAAGUCCUUCCAACAUCUUGCAACCUGGAUAACAGCCAAGUCCUAUUCAUCCCUCUCAACCUGGCUCUUCCAUGCCCUCCUGCAAGGCCUUCCCCAGCCCUUCUCUGUGGAUGCCCCUCCUCCGUUUUGAAGCAGACUGGAUACCAGCCCCACCCCGCCGCCAUGCUUCUUUUAUCCUUGCAGAAAGCCUAUCUCCACCGGACUGUGACAACUUCAUGAGGGUGUAGAGCUCAUGCCUGUUUGAUUAGUCCCUUAACCACCACUGUUCCCAGCACCUGAGCUUCGUCCUUGGCACCUUGUGAACCUACAAUAAAUAUUUGUUAAAUGAAUGAAUAAAAGACUGAGAAGCGGGGGCA
rnacentral:lncRNA from 10 species